rnacentral:ribozyme from 1 species
CGCUGGCAAAAUCCGAUCCCUGCCUCCACGUGGCGCUGCUGGAUGUCGGUCUGGUGUAAGGAUACUUCACCAGAGCCUAACCAAAGGGACGG